UUUUUGACUUUAGAACAUCCCUUGCAUAUAAAUAAAUAUGAAUCCCAGCAUUGCAAUCAAACCAAGCACAAUUCUACUUUCCCCUAACACUUGCAAAAAAUGCCUAAGUUUGAAAAUCAAGUGAAAGAAAGGAAGCAGCAGCCUCCUCCAGGUUAUCCACAAGGAAGUCCCCCGCAGGUGAAGUCAAAAUGUCCUCAUGUAAGAAAGAAGGGCGACAGGGGUUUCAUUGAGGGAUGUCUUGCCGCCCUUUGCUGUUGCUGGAUCUGUGAAGAGUGCUGCAUAUAAUUUCUCAUAGAGAUAAUGGUGUAAUUGGAGAGAGAGAGAGAUGUCUGGUUGUCGUUGUAAUUGAGAGAUAUGUAUAUUAGUGUUUUCAUAUACUAAAUAUAUGUGAUUCCGCAACUUAUGUCAUUAUAAAUAAGAGAAAUUUAUCAAAUUAUCUACAAGA